rnacentral:rRNA from 1 species
CAGUCGCCACGGUAAUACGUAGGGUGCAAGCGUUAAUCGGAAUUACUGGGCGUAAAGCGUGCGCAGGCGGUUAUAUAAGACAGUCGUGAAAUCCCCGGGCUCAACCUGGGAACUGCGAUUGUGACUGUAUGGCUAGAGUGUGUCAGAGGGGGGUAGAAUUCCACGUGUAGCAGUGAAAUGCGUAGAUAUGUGGAGGAAUACCGAUGGCGAAGGCAGCCCCCUGGGAUAACACUGACGCUCAUGCACGAAAGCGUGGGGAGCAAACAGGAUUAGAUACCCGCGUAGUCCCUGUCUCUUAUAC